UACGUAGGGGGCAAGCGUUGUUCGGAAUUACUGGGCGUAAAGCGCGUGUAGGCGGUCUGGCAAGUCAGAUGUGAAAGCCCCGGGCUCAACUUGGGAACUGCAUUUGAUACUGCCAAGCUAGAGUACAGAAGAGGUGACUGGAAUUCCCAGUGUAGCGGUGAAAUGCGUAGAUAUUGGGAGGAACACCAGAUGCGAAGGCGGGUCACUGGGCUGAUACUGACGCUAAAGCGCGAAAGCCAGGGGAGCGAACGGG
rnacentral:rRNA from 2 species